GAUGAACGCUGGCGGCGUGCCUAAUACAUGCAAGUCGAGCGGACAGAUGAGGAGCUUGCUCCUCUGACGUUAGCGGCGGACGGGUGAGUAACACGUGUAUCACCUACCUAUCAGACUGGGAUCACUUCGGGAAACCGGAGCUUAUACCGGAUAAUAUAUUGCACCGCGUGGUUCAUUAGUGAAAGACGGUUUUUCUGUCACUUCUCGCUGGAUCCCGGCCGCUUUAGCUAGUUGGUACGGUAAAGGCUUAGCAAGGCGACCAUGCGUAGCCGACGUGUGAGGGUGGUCGGCCACAUGAGAGGGUGAACAGCGACCAGGCUCCUGAGGGAGGCAGCAGUAGGGAACCGUCCGCAACAGGCGGAAGCAUGACGGAACAGGCCCGCGUGUGUGAUGAAGGUGUUGCGAUCGUAAAACCCUGUUAUGAGUGAAAAACCAAUUUCUAAGGUACCAAGCCCGUAGUGACGGUACCUAAUAAGGAAGCCACGGCUAACUACGUG
rnacentral:rRNA from 1 species